rnacentral:lncRNA from 1 species
GAUGAUGGAGAAGAUGGGGAAGCCCCUGACUCAGAUGCAGAGGUGGAUGGUGUGGAUGAAGAAGAGGAGGAUGAAGAAGGAGAAGAUGAGGAAGAGGAGGAGGAUGAGGAUGGUGAGGAGGAAGAGUUUGAUGAAGAAGAUGAAGAUGGGGUCAGCGGGGAGGAAGAAGAAUUUGGGCAUGAUGGAGAAGUAGAUGAAGAUGAAGAAGACGAGGAUGAGGAUGAAGAGGAGGAAGAAAGCAGGAAAGGUGAAAAGAGAAAGAGAGAAACAGAUGAUGAAGGAGAAGAUGAUUAAGACCCCAGAUACACUGCAAAACAGAACUGUUCAGUAUUGGUUGGACUGCUCAUGGAUUUGAUAGCUGUUUAAAAAAGAAAAAAAAAAAAGGUGGCUGCGAUACAAACCCCAGGACGCCCACCCACCCAAAGAGCCAAAGAAUAGUUCCUGUAACAUUCCACCUUCCUCCUUUUAGUCCCUCUUGGUAAUCCACCACCAGGCUUGGGGACUUUGCCCCAACAAAAUUGUAAGCAUUGUUAGGUUUUUUGUGUAAGACUCUUGCUGUAGCAUGGAUAGCUGUGAUUAGGGAGUCAGCUGUCUGUGGCUACCAGUCACACCGAGAUUGUAACAGCAUUUUUACUUUCUGUACAACAAAAAAGCUUUGUAAAUAAAAUCUUAACAUUUUGAAAAAAAAAAAAAUUGAGCUCUGUGGCUCAAUUUCUUUCCUCAGAAGAAC